GUAAGGAAUAUUGCACAAUGGGCGAAAGCCUGAUGCAGCAACGCCGCGUGCGCGAUGAAGGCCUUCGGGUCGUAAAGCGCUUUUCUGGGGGAAGAGUAAGGACGGUACCUCAGGAAUAAGUCUCGGCUAACUACGUGCCAGCAGCCGCGGUAACACGUAGGAGACAAGCGUUAUCCGGAUUUAUUGGGCGUAAAGGGCAUGUAGGCGGGCUCUUAAGUCGGAUGUGAAAUCUCUUGGCUUAACCGGGAGGGGUCAUUCGAUACUGGGAGUCUUGAGGGCAGGAGAGGGAAGUAGAAUUCCCGGUGUAGUGGUGGAAUACGUAGAUAUCGGGAGGAAUACCAGUGGCGAAAGCGGCUUCCUGGCCUGUGCCUGACGCUGAUAUGCGAAAGCGUGGGUAGCAAACGGGAUUAGAAACCCUAGUAGUCC
rnacentral:rRNA from 1 species